rnacentral:lncRNA from 1 species
AUAGGGAUUUUUUUUUUUUUUUAAGACAGAAAGAUAGCAUGUUAUCUGCUGCGUUCAUUUUUUUUAGAAAAAAAUAUUGGGAUUUUUGGAUGUCAAAAAUAUAUGGUUAAUUAAGAGGAACAUAAAUUAAUAUGCUUAAUGAAGUGAUUAAAAUGGAUGAUUUUUUUUUAGAUGGGGAAUACAAUUAAAAUUCAUUAAAGCUAUUUAAAAUUAUUCAGAAAUACUGAUCAAAUUUAAUACAUAAAUAUUUAUAUUAAAAUCAAAUUUUCUAAUAGGCUAAAUUACAUAAAAUUUUUCUGUCAAAAUUCGAUUUUUCACUUUACCCUCCUGUCAUUUAAAAACCUACACUUUGCCCCCUUGUAAAAUAAAAAAUAUUCACAUAAGGUAUGGUGUGUAAAAUGACCAUUUUGCCCCUCACCAUUUUCGUCUUCUCCAUCAUCUUCUUCAACCGCCGCCUCGAUCAGCCGCCAUUCACAUCUCGAUUUGCUGCAAUUUCUCUCCAUUUUCUUCUCCACGUGCUUCCCUUCUCCUUCUGCACCCUCGUCGCUCUUCGAUAUCGGCGACAGUAGGGAGGAAACCGAGAUGGACAUUGAUGGAGAGGUAGGCAAGAGCAACAAGAGCGAAAGCGAGGUGGCGGACGACAGCGAAGGGGAUGUGGGCGAGGGUGAAGCAGUGGAGGAGUGCGAGACGGCGAGGCGGCGAGCCGGAGGGAGGCGAAGCAACAGGAAAGAGGGCGGAGGGAUAUUUUUGGCAUAAAAAAAUAUUUUAUAACGGAACCCUAACGGUAGUUGGUGAAGUGCAUAUUUUUCAUUUUACAAAGAGACAAAAUGUAGAUUUUUAAGUGACAGAAGGAAAAAGUGAAAAAUCAAAUUUUGAUCGGAAAUUUUGUGUAAUUUAGCCUUUCGAAU